UACGGAGGGGGCGAGCGUUAUUCGGGAUUAUUGGGCGUAAAGGGCGCGUAGGCGGCUGUACAAGUCAAAGGUGAAAUCCCUCGGCUCAACUGAGGAACUGCCUUUGAAACUGUACGGCUUGAGGCCGGGAGGGGGUAGCGGAAUUCCCAAUGUAGCGGUGAAAUGCGUAGAUAUUGGGAGGAACACCAGUGGCGAAGGCGACUACCUGGCCUGUUCUUGACGCUGAGGCGCGAAAGCUAGGGGAGCAAACGGG
rnacentral:rRNA from 1 species